UUUCUCUGCGUCUAAAUAUGCCCUCGGGACCCCUUAAAGGGGGGGGGGCAGAAGUCGGUACAAGGUUUCCGUAGGUGAACCUGCGGAAGGAUCAUUGUCGAAACCUGCACAAGCAGAAAGACCCGUGAACUCGUUUACAAACACCGGGCGGACGGCGUUUGGCCACAAACCGACGACGUCCCCCGAGCUUGGGAGGAUCCCGGCUCCCAGUGAGUCGGUCACCUCCCGGCACGAACAAACCCCGGCGCGGAUUGCGCCAAGGACCAUGAACAAUAGCGCGUCCCACGCCCCUCGGUUGCCCGAAGUGUGCGUGGGUCGUCGUGUCGUUUCGAUACAUUAGAACGACUCUCGGCAACGGAUAUCUCGGCUCUCGCAUCGAUGAAGAACGUAGCGAAAUGCGAUACUUGGUGUGAAUUGCAGAAUCCCGUGAACCAUCGAGUCUUUGAACGCAAGUUGCGCCCGAAGCCUUCGGGCCAAGGGCACGUCUGCCUGGGCGUCACGCACCGCGUYGCCCCCACCCCAUACCAUUGGGAUCGGGGGCGGACUGUGGCCCCCCGUGCGCUCCUCGCUCACGGUCGGCCUAAACACAGACCCCGUGGCCGCGAAAUGCCGCGACGUUUGGUGGUUUACUCGUGGCCUUGUGCCUCGAGCAUCGCGUCGUGGCCCUGGCGGCCCAUGGGAGCUCAAAGGACCCUGAGGAGGACCGUGUCACCCUCGAGUGGCGCAGGAACCUCCUAACCGUUGCGACCCCAGGUCAGGCGGGACUACCCGCUGAGUUUAAGCAUAUCAAUAAGCGGAGGAA
rnacentral:rRNA from 1 species